rnacentral:lncRNA from 1 species
GGUGGAGCGAGAGUUUCGAAUAGAGCGAGAGUUUCAAAUGGUGGAGCGAGAGUUUCGAAUAGAGCGAGAGUUUCGAAUGGUGGAACGAAAGUUUCGAAUGGUGGAGCGACAGUUGAGAAUAAUGGAACGAGAGUUUCGAAUGGUGGAGCGAGAGUUGAAAAUGGUGGAGCGAGAGUUGAGAAUGACGAAACUGACGAGAAAGAGUUUCAAAUGAAAAAAAUGGUGAAGGCGCCAACAGAUUUUUCAGUUUUUUGCUUUCCAAAAGUGCCCACAAAAACUCAUUUUAUCUUUUUGAAAAAGUCAUUUAAAACAACAAAUGACAGAACGACACGUGUCAUUGUCAAUUUGUUGUCAAACAAGCGUUUUGUGAUUGUGUGGAAGAGUGGAUGUGUGGAAGAAUGGAUGUGUGGAAGAGUUUUGUGAUAUGGACGACGGGAAGAUUGGAAGAAGGAGGGAGAGAAGGAAAGAUAUGGAGGAAGACAGAGGGAUAAAAAACUACCGUUAACCACAUUAGCAACUUUUUUAACGGUGUUAGUUAGUCUUAAUUUCUUCUCAACCAUUGGAAAUUCUUCAAUUUAGCCAUGAUUGAAUCAAUUAUGGGGUCAUUUAUAAUUAGACAAUUCAUCCUUGUAUCCUCUAGAAAGGAUUUACAAGCUUGCUUUCACUUCAGGUACAUAAAUGACACAUUAAAAUGCUCAAGAAACAUUUAUGCCUUUAUAUAAUAUCAUCAAAAUUCAGCUCAU